GAUGAAGAACGCAGUGAAAUGCGAUAAGUAAUGUGAAUUGCAGAAUUCAGUGAAUCAUCGAAUCUUUGAACGCACAUUGCGCCCGCCAGUAUUCUGGCGGGCAUGCCUGUUCGAGCGUCAUUUCAACCAUCAAGCCCCCGGCUUGUGUUGGGGACCUGCGGCUGCCGCAGGCCCUGAAAAGCAGUGGCGGGCUCGCUGUCACACCGAGCGUAGUAGAUUUCAUCUCGCUCAGGGCGUGCUGCGGGUUCCGGCCGUUAAACCACCUUCAUAACCCAAGGUUGACCUCGGAUCAGGUAGGAAGACCCGCUGAACUUAAGCAUAUCAAUAAGCGGAGGA
rnacentral:misc_RNA from 1 species